UACGUAGGGUGCGAGCGUUAAUCGGAAUUACUGGGCGUAAAGCGUGCGCAGGCGGUUUUGUAAGCCAGAUGUGAAAGCCCCGGGCUUAACCUGGGAAUGGCAUUUGGGACUGCAAGGCUUGAGUGCGGCAGAGGAGACUGGAAUUCCUGGUGUAGCAGUGAAAUGCGUAGAUAUCAGGAGGAACACCGGUGGCGAAGGCGGGUCUCUGGGCCGAUAUUGACGCUGAGGAGCGAAAGCGUGGGGAGCGAACAGG
rnacentral:rRNA from 1 species